rnacentral:ncRNA from 1 species
UUCUUAUCAAGAGAGACUGAGGGAUUGGCCCAAUGAAGUCUCAGCAACCGGCCUUUAAGAAGAAACGGUGCUAAUUCCAUAGGCGAUAAGCGCCUAGAAGAUGAGAA